rnacentral:rRNA from 1 species
CACGUAGGGCGCAAGCGUUGUCCGGAAUUAUUGGGCGUAAAGAGCUCGUAGGCGGUCCGUCACGUCUGCUGUGAAAACUCGGGGCUUAACCCCGAGCCUGCAGUGGAUACGGGCGAACUAGAGGUAGGUAGGGGAGAAUGGAAUUCCCGGUGUAGCGGUGAAAUGCGCAGAUAUCGGGAGGAACACCGGUGGCGAAGGCAGCUCGCUGGCCUAACACUGACGCUGAGGCGCGAAAGCGUGGGGAGCAAACAGG